GGGAAUAUUGCACAAUGGGGGGAACCCUGAUGCAGCGAUGCCGCGUGGAGGAAGAAGGUUUUCGGAUUGUAAACUCCUGUCGUAAGGGACGCUAAUGCCGGUACCUUACAAGAAAGCUCCGGCUAACUACGCGCCAGCAGCCGCGGUAAUACGGAGGAUGCGAGCGUUAUCCGGAUUUAUUGGGUUUAAAGGGUGCGCAGGCGGACUUCCAAGUCAGCGGUAAAAUCGCGGGGCUCAACCCCGCCCAGCCGUUGAAACUGGGAGUCUCGAGUGGGCGAGAAGUAUGCGGAAUGCGUGGUGUAGCGGUGAAAUGCAUAGAUAUCACGCAGAACCCCGAUUGCGAAGGCAGCAUACCGGCGCCCGACUGACGCUCAUGCACGAAAGCGUGGGUAUCGAACAGG
rnacentral:rRNA from 1 species